rnacentral:rRNA from 1 species
GAUGAACGCUGGCGGCGUGCUUAACACAUGCAAGUCGAACGGAAAGGCUCCUGCUUGCAGGGGUACUCGAGUGGCGAACGGGUGAGUAACCCGUGGGUGAUCUGCCCUGCACUUCGGGAUAAGCCUGGGAAACUGGGUCUAAUACCGGAUAGGACCACAUUUUGGAUGGUGUGGUGGAAAGUUUUUCGGUGUGGGAUGAGCUCGCGGCCUAUCAGCUUGUUGGUGGGGUAAUGGCCUACCAAGGCGUCGACGGGUAGCCGGCCUGAGAGGGUGUACGGCCACAUUGGGACUGAGAUACGGCCCAGACUCCUACGGGAGGCAGCAGUGGGGAAUAUUGCACAAUGGGCGCAAGCCUGAUGCAGCGACGCCGCGUGGGGGAUGACGGCCUUCGGGUUGUAAACUCCUUUCGCUAGGGACGAAGCGCAAGUGACGGUACCUGGAGAAGAAGCACCGGCUAACUACGUG